GUGGGGAAUAUUGGACAAUGGGGGGAACCCUGAUCCAGCCAUGCCGCGUGUGUGAAGAAGGCCUUUUGGUUGUAAAGCACUUUAAGUGGGGAGGAGGCUCUCUUGGUUAAUACCUAAGAAGAGUGGACGUUACCCACAGAAUAAGCACCGGCUAACUCUGUGCCAGCAGCCGCGGUAAUACAGAGGGUGCGAGCGUUAAUCGGAUUUACUGGGCGUAAAGCGCGCGUAGGUGGUUAAUUAAGUCAAAUGUGAAAUCCCCGAGCUUAACUUGGGAAUUGCAUUCGAUACUGGUUAGCUAGAGUAUGGGAGAGGAUGGUAGAAUUCCAGGUGUAGCGGUGAAAUGCGUAGAGAUCUGGAGGAAUACCGAUGGCGAAGGCAGCCAUCUGGCCUAAUACUGACACUGAGGUGCGAAAGCAUGGGGAGCAAACAGGAUUAGAAACCCUAGUAGUCC
rnacentral:rRNA from 1 species